AUUGAACGCUGGCGGCAGGCCUAACACAUGCAAGUCGAGCGGAAGAACGGAGCUUGCUUCUGGUUUCAGCGGCGGACUGGUGAGUAAUGCCUAGGAAUCUCCCUGUCUGUGGUUGAGAACGUCCGGAGGCAGGCGCUCAUACCCCAAACCUCCAGAGGGCGAAAGUGGGAGAUCUUCGGAUCUUCCGCUCUCACAUGAGUGUAGGUCGGAUUAGCUAGUUGGUGGGGUAAAGGCCUACCAAGGCGACGAUCCGUCACUGGUCUGAGAGGAUGAUCAGUCACACUGGAACUGAGACACGGUCCAGACUCCUAAGGGAGGAAGCAGUGGGGAAUAUUGGACAAUGGGCGAAAGCCUGAUCCAGCCAUGCCGCGUGUGUGAAGAAGGUCUUCGGAUUGUAAAGCACUUUAAGUUGGGAGGAAGGGCAGUAAGUUAAUACCUUGCUGUUUUGACGUUACCAACAGAAUAAGCACCGGCUAACUUCGUG
rnacentral:rRNA from 1 species